UACGUAGGGGGCAAGCGUUGUCCGGAAUCAUUGGGCGUAAAGCGCGUGUAGGCGGCCCGAUAAGUCCGCUGUGAAAGUCCAGGGCUCAACCCUGGGAUGCCGGUGGAUACUGUCGGGCUCGAGUCCGGAAGAGGAGUGUGGAAUUCCUGGUGUAGCGGUGAAAUGCGCAGAUAUCAGGAAGAACACCCGUGGCUAAGGCGGCUCUCUAGUACGGUACUGACGCUGAGACGCGAAAGCGUGGGGAGCGAACAGG
rnacentral:rRNA from 1 species